UUUCAAAAAUUUUUCUUUGAAAAUCUUUGUUGAUAGAACUUUCGCAUACUUUCCUCAUCAGCUGGUAUUUGUGACGCAUAUCUUUUUUCGUGUCAAAUCUGUAAGCGUCACCUACACCGAUAUCAGUUCUUUUGUAAGUGGAUAAAAGGA